UACGUAGGUGGCAAGCGUUAUCCGGAAUUACUGGGCGUAAAGCGCACGCAGGUGGCUGCUUAAGUCUGACGUGAAAGCUCCUGGCUUAACUGGGAGAGGUCGUUGGAGACUGGGCGGCUUGAGGCGAGGAGAGGGGUGUAGAAUUCCCGGUGUAGUGGUGGAAUGCGUAGAGAUCGGGAGGAAUACCAGUGGCGAAAGCGGCACCCUGGCCUUGGCCUGACGCUCAGGUGCGAAAGCGUGGGGAGCGAACGGG
rnacentral:rRNA from 1 species